AAAAACUCUUGAUUUUCCUUUAUAAAAAUCAUUAUGAAAGUUUUAGAGAUUUCAGGUAAAUAAAAAGAAGAAAAUAAAAAUAAAAAUAAAAAUAAAAAUUAUCCAUAAUGCCAACUCCCCAAAUAAUAGUAAAUAUUUUGGAGUUUAUCCAUGCAGUCAUACACAUGUGGCUUUUUUUUUUCUUACUACAGCAAUGUCAGUCUGUUUGACAACCUGUUUUUCUUUUUCUUUCUUUCUUUUCUUUUUUUAACUUAACAAUAAUGCUUUAACAACUAUCCAAAACAUUAAAUAUUCUUUCACAGAGCACAUUUUAAAGCUUCAUAGCAGGCCGUUGUAACACUUUUACUCAAUUUAUUUAAUCAACCCCCCUUUUAUUGAAAUUUUAACUUGUCUUUACUAUUUUAUCAUACUAGAUAAUUCUGUUAAGACAUUCAUGGAAUCUAAUCUUUUUUUCACAUUGUCAUUAUUUCUUUAGGACAAUUUUCUAGAAAUGCAGUUGUUGAUCAAUGAACACACACACAUACAGAUUCUAGCAAGGGUUAUUGAAUUGUUUUUUAGAAAGCCAUUUUUCUUCUUCUUCUCUCUCUCUCUCCUUAAAUCUAUUUGCAUUCUCUGCUUAUAAAGGAACUGGUUCUAGGUAAAUUCACCACCACCGAAUUGCUCUAAAGCCAUUUCUCCAAAAAUUGAUUCACCAAAUGGCCAAUUCGUAAAUAGCAAAGUAGGAAGAUAUAUAGUUAGACCAACAGCCAGCAGACAGCCAGCCAGCCAAAGCCAUUCAUGAAAUAACCCGUUAACAGAGCAGGCAACUUAACAAAUAUACUGAUGAACAUAGUUAUAAGGCUUUCUAUUGCUCAGGAAGGUUUGCCUAUGGUUUUUGGAGACUGCUAUCAAAUUUGAGAGGACCUGUUUUCAUUUUGUUCUUUAGGUAACAAUUUAAGGAUGGCUCAGUUUGUUAAAAUGAUGAGGCUUUGUGAGUGAGCAUCUUUAAUAUUCAAAAAGUGUUUCUCCUUGCUGGAAACCAGAAUGUCGCCAUUCUAAAUGGGCAGUAGCUACUGAUUUCUUUUGAAUUCUUUUCCAUGUCAUUUUUGGUUGCAGCACGUAAAAUUUUUAUGAGUUUCCAGCUAAUUUCUAAU
rnacentral:lncRNA from 1 species